rnacentral:lncRNA from 10 species
CUUUGGUGCCCAGAGCUAUGAAAGGUCACAGAGGCCCAAAUUCCUGCCCCAGGGAACACAUGAUCACUUUCUAUUAGAGGACUGUUAACUAACUUGGGGACCAUAUUUCAAAACUGUCACAUGGAGAUUUAGGGAAAACCUCCUGGAAGAAGUGGCUUGGCUAAGUUUUGAAAAGUGCAUAGGGGUGAGAACAGGGAGAGAAGAGGAAAGAGGACAUGCUGUGGAGGGGCCAGCAAACGAGAAACUCAGGAGGCAGAAAAUCUCAGCAUGCAAAACAGGAAACAAGGAUACACAUAUCUAUACCGGUGGCUCUCAUUGGGUGCAAUUUUGCCACGUCUGAAAGCAUUUUUGGUUAUCACAACUUGGGAGCAGCUGCUGGCAUCUAAAAAUGAAAAUCAUGGUAUUCCAGAGACUGGCGAUGAUGGAGCAAACAACAGCAGCUAUGUAAGUCAAUACUUUGUGGACUCACUUUUGCCAUUCUGUAUUGUCAUCCUGAUUCAGCUUUUUGGUGCUCUUAAAAUUCCUCACUGAGAUGUCUCCACUCCCCCAUGUGGGACAGGGCUACCCAGGAAUGAGCCUUCCUGGUGACAAGGGACAAGCUGGCACUCAGAUUUGUAUCAUCAGUGCUUUUGAGGAGAAAAAUUUGUGAUCAAAAGGAAGGAAAUGAGAGCAAAAGGAAACUUUUAAUCAUAGGAAUGUGAGCCCUUUUAAAUUAUCAGUCCCAGAAAAGCAUUGGAAUGAAAAGCUAUCACAUCUCAUGCCUCCCUUGAGCUAAGUAAUUACCUCUUGAAGCCACUUGCUAUGUGGACUCUAGACUAACUGAUGCCAAGUAGCUAUAAAAUGCCAUGCACUGGACGCCAUAACUCAUAUCCUCCAGCUCAACAAUGUAAAGCCAAUCCCUAAUCAAUGUAAUUUCUAUAAACCAAUGAGAAUUCCUGCCAACUUUUUAUCAGCUCACUCCUUGCUUUCUUUUUGUCUUUAAAAAUCCACUUGUACAGAUGUAGCUGGAGGCCAUUAUCCUAGGCGAAUUAAUGCAGGAAAAGAAAACCAAAUACUGAAUGUACACGCUUAUAAGCAAGAGCUAAACACUGGGCACACAAAGACAUAAAGACGGAAACCGUAGACACUGGGGGCUACUAGAGGGUGGAAGAAAGGAGUGGGGUAAGAAUUGAACAACUAUCUUAUUGGGUACUAUGCUCACUACCUGGGCGAUGGCAUCAGUCAUACCCCAAACCUCAGCAUCUUGCAAUAUACCCAUGUAACAAAUGUGCAUAUGGUACCUCCCGAAUCUAAAAUAAAAGUUGGAUUUUUUUUUUAAAGCCUGAAUGCAACAAAAGCUGGAUGGAGUACUCCCCAAGGCAACUUGGAAGGGUGUCCUGGGCAGCUGGCCUCACAUUGGCUCAA